UACGAAGGGGGCUAGCGUUGCUCGGAAUCACUGGGCGUAAAGGGUGCGUAGGCGGGUCUUUUAAGUCAGGGGUGAAAUCCUGGAGCUCAACUCCAGAACUGCCUUUGAUACUGAAGACUGUUGAGUUCGGGAGAGGUGAGUGGAACUGCGAGUGUAGAGGUGAAAUUCGUAGAUAUUCGCAAGAACACCAGUGGCGAAGGCGGCUCACUGGCCCGAUACUGACGCUGAGGUGCGAAAGCGUGGGGAGCAAACAGG
rnacentral:rRNA from 1 species